AUAAGUUGACUUGGGGUGCAUGAUUGUUUUGGCAAGCUCGACGACUCAAUAAGCCUAAAGUCGUCUCUUCUUCCUCAGCCAAUUUUGCAUCAUCUUCUUCUAAUGCGUCCUUGUAACUUGAAUAUUUUACGGUGGAAACUAAUGUUGUUGCUGGUGGACUGCUCUAGCUGCCGUACGCCGCUUCACCUCCCUCCCGGAGCCACCAGGAUUCGCUGCUCUAUUUGCCACGCCUUCACUCUCGUCGCUCCUGAGCCCCACCACCAAUCUCACGCUCCGGCGAGCCCCCUUCCUUUCUCCAACUCAUUUACUUUUCCACCACCAUCUUCUUCCCUAUACCCACCGGUGCCGUCUCCGUCCGUCUACCCGCCGCCAACCUUAAGUCACUCAUUAUCGGCACCAUCUGCUUUUAGUCACGUGCCAUCGGCACCGUCUCCGUUUAAUCACGCACUACCAGCACCAUCUCCGUUCACUCAUUUGCCGCCAGCACAGUCUCAUUUCAGUCACGUGCCUUCGUCUUCUUUCAAUCACGCGCAUUUGGCACCGUCUCCGUUCAAUCACGCGCCGCCGGGUCCUCCACCGCCGGUACAUGGAGAGAAGCGAGCGGUGAUCGUCGGGGUGUCUUAUAAGGAUACAGAGAACGAGUUGAAAGGGUGCAUCAAUGACGCUAAAUGCAUGAAGUUCAUGUUGAUGAAGCGUUUCAAGUUCCCUGAGUCUUGCAUCCUUAUGCUCACCGAAGAAGAAGCGGAUCCAUUAAGAUGGCCAACGAGGAACAAUAUAACAAUGGCAAUGCAUUGGCUGGUUUUAAGCUGCAAACCAGGAGAUUCACUAGUCUUCCACUUCUCCGGUCAUGGAAACAACCAAACGGACCUCAACGGAGACGAGGUGGAUGGCUUCGAUGAGACCCUUCUUCCUGUUGACCACGCAACCUCAGGUGUCAUUGUAGACGACGAGAUCAAUGCUACAAUCGUACGUCCUCUCCCUUAUGGAGUCAAGCUUCAUGCCAUCAUUGACGCUUGUCAUAGUGGCACCGUCAUGGACUUGCCCUACCUUUGUAGAAUGGAGAGACCCGGAAAGUACGAGUGGGAAGACCAUCGGCCUCCAUCAGGGAUGUGGAAAGGUACGAGUGGCGGUGAAGUUUUCUCCUUCACUGGCUGCGACGAUGACCAGACCUCAGUUGACACUCCGUUGUGCAAUGCAGCAAUUGUCAGGGAGUGCGUGGACGGGUGCAAUGACGUAUGCAUUCAUUCAAGCCAUAGAACGUGGACACGGAACUACUUAUGGGAGCUUACUGAGUGCGAUGCGAUCAACAGUUCAUGAGAUCUUCGACACAAACAAAGGUAGAGAGCUUGUUGAAGUGGACAGCGAUUUUCUCAAUACUCUUCUUGGUUUGCUCAUCUUAGGCGCUGCUCCAUCUGCGGGUGAGGAAGCAAACCAAGCCCCACAAAAGACUCAGGAACCACAACUGAGCGCUAACGAGGCAUUUGAUGUGUACGAGAAGCCCUUCUCUUUGUGAUAUCACCUCAAGGACAUACCCAAAACAAGAAGAGAGAAAGUAAUUUCAUUGAGCUUUGAGUGAGAGGAUAUGUGGCCCAGUGUCCAUAAUAAAUAUUUAUGUCGGCUUUUUCAUUUUUUUUUAACGUAUGCUAUUACAUACCAUGAUAACAAUAACUUUUAUACUCCUUCCGUUUCGAUUUAAUUGUCGUUGUAAGAAAAAAAAUUCGUUUCAAAGUGUCGUUUUAAAGUUUCAAUGCAAAAUUUAUUAAUAAGA